UUAAUACCGCAUAAGAUUGUAGUAUCGCAUGAUAUAGCAAUUAAAGGAGCAAUUCGCUAUAAGAUGGACCCGCGUCGCAUUAGCUAGUUGGUGAGGUAAUGGCUCACCAAGGCGACGAUGCGUAGCCGACCUGAGAGGGUGAUCGGCCACAUUGGGACUGAGACACGGCCCAGACUCCUACGGGAGGCAGCAUG
rnacentral:rRNA from 1 species